CCUCUGUGCACUCGGUUUCUGACAUGCCCAGUCUAACUUCAGCGUCUUAGACACAGCGAUGGAAGGGCAGACUAGGAGCAUAGGAGGAAAAGAAGAGGAAUUCAGCCAAAUUUUAGCUGCUGUGUUUCCUGCUUGAACAAAACACAUUUAUUGAAAAACUACAGGGAAAAAACUGCAGAAAAGGGCAGUUGUGGAAACAAAAUUUCUUCACUGAAAAAUCUAAGAAGUCAUUUUGUCUCCGGAAGACUCAGUUCCAAAUAAGAAAAGGUACAUGGAGUAGAUUAUCACCAUUAAUGCAGCAACUGUAGCUGGGUGCAAUUCCAUAACAAAGUAAUAAUUUCAGAUAAAUGAAUAUAAUUCUCCCAAAGGAAGCAGAAGGAUAAAGUAAAAUUAGAUACUUCUAAAGGAAAUUUAUUAUUUUAUUGUGCCUCUUUUUUCAAAGUUUUUGCU
rnacentral:lncRNA from 1 species